AAGAUUAAAGAUCCUUCAGAGAUACCAUGCAAACCAUGCGUCCCCUUCCAUCUGGAUCCCAUCACAGUUUACCAAGAGUGAAAGUCUUAGUCACUGCAAUGGUACAAAGAUACAGGAGGCCACAAUUAAUAACAGAUCUCUUGGAGCCCAUUCACUUCCUGUUUUAACUUGGACCCGGAGGAAGGGGCGUGAGAGGUAAAGAAUACAUUUUAAUCACAGCAAAAGGACGAUCUCAGUGUAAACAAACCAGUGGCCAUGUUUUCAUUAGUCUUGUCUGAAUUUAGUUGGUGUGACUUUGUCAUGGAGACACUAAUUAUCUAUGGACAUAUAAAGAACGUUCAGGGUCUGGGUCUCAGUCAGCCACCCCAAGAGUCUCACCAAGGUCAGCCAGAAUCCUUCAGUGCACCUGGAGUGGAUACUGUAAUGUGUUGCCAAGACCCCCGAAGGAGGAAGGCACUCAACCCCUUGCCUCAAUUGGAAACAUCUCUGAAGGGCCAUCUCAUCUUCAGAGUGCCCCAUGGGAUGGGCGAGGCUUCCUUUGGCAACUGCUUUAACUUCCACUUUGUUCUCUGUCCUGUGUUUCCUUCACCGUCUGACAGGUAUUAUUCCCAUACUCCUGAAUAAAUAUGUCUCAAGGUCUGUUUCCUGAGGAACCGGACCUACAACCCUACUUUUCUCUCAUACCCAGAACUGUAACAAACGAAAAGGUUAAUUUCU